rnacentral:rRNA from 1 species
AGCGUAGGUGGAUAUUUAAGUGGGAUGUGAAAUACUCGGGCUUAACCUGGGUGCUGCAUUCCAAACUGGAUAUCUAGAGUGCAGGAGAGGAAAGUAGAAUUCCUAGUGUAGCGGUGAAAUGCGUAGAGAUUAGGAAGAAUACCAGUGGCGAAGGCGACUUUCUGGACUGUAACUGACACUGAGGCUCGAAAGCGUGGGGAGCAAACAG